UCUGUAUUUAUCCAGUGUGUGUGUGUGUGUGUGUGUGUGUGUGUGUGUGUGUGUGUGUUAGUCACUAUGAAAAAUAAAUGUUUUCGUUUUGUGGUCCUUCAAAUGCAAUAAAUGGUUUCACAUUCAUAAGCUUGCUCCCCUCAUUCCAUAUUAUGGUUUUGGAUUUUAUCCAUGUUGAUACAUAUAGAUGUGAUUCAUGUAUACACAUAUGGAUGUGGUGGUUGAUGCAUAGUAUCCAGUUAUACAAAUAAAGCACAGUCUAUUUUUCCAUUCCCCCUGAGCACAGGAAGUUGGUUUCCAUGGUUUUGUUUUACAAAGUCGCGACAACGUAACUGCUCCGUGUAGGUACCAUUGUGACAACUAGAUUUGGAAUUCCUAGGUAGAAUCCAGAGGGAAAGCAUGCUUUAAGUUGCAUGAGGAAUUGCCAAACAGACUCCAAAAUGGUGGAGCCAAUAAUGUGCCAGAGUAUCUGCUUCCCUACAUCCUCAGCAAAACUUGAUGUGUUUCGAUAAAAUCAAGGUAGUCGACCUUGGCUAUCACGCUUAAAGCUGCACAAAUUACCACUUGUACAUAUUUGAUGAUAUUGUGCCAUUAUCAAAAUAUGAGUAAGGUGUGUACAUGAAGAGUUGAAAACACAUCACAAAACAGUGAACAUUUGGCAACAGGAAAGGAGAAAAGGAGACAUACAUUGGAAACCAACAUGCCACAUCUUGCCUAUCAGCUUAAGCUCUAAACUAAAUUGCCGCUACAACUUAGCCAAGAUAUUUUGUUGUUACAUGAACUUCUCAAGGAAAAUUUCUACAAGCGGAAGUUGAGAAAUUUGCAGUAUUUUCCCUCGAAUCAAAUGUCAAAGCAUAUCUGGAGAGACCCAAAACAACAAGAAAGAAAAACAGUCCACAAAAUCACUCUGCCUCAGCAGUAUAAAAAGUGUUGAAUGGCUCCAUCCAAGAAGCGUUUACGGAGCGCCCGUGGUGGCCAGGCCCCAUAUCAAGGAUUCAAAGCAAAAUGUGCCAAUGGGCCACAAUAGAUUACAGUGACUCAGCAAAACAGAGUUAUCAUAUUUCAAAGUCAGCCUAAUAACUCAUCUUGGAGACAGAUGUGGCUAAAACUUUACACCGUUGGCUUCAACUUCAAGAAAUUUCAGUGUAAUUCUAAUAGAAACCCACUGUGAAAUCUCACAUAACUUUUAAUGGAAACCACUAUCUUAUUUUAGUCAUUGCAAAAGGCUAAAAAUAAAGAUUUUUUUCCCAUAAUUCAUUUGUGAAACACUAAUAACAGUAAGAACUUAAAAUAAUGCUAAUGUUCUCACAAAGCACAAAAAUGCUGGAAUGAGUUCGAUGAUUUCUUCAAGGGCAGCGCCCUUAUCCAAAACAGGCUAAUGAGAGUCGUGGAGCUUGAGUUUCUCUAACGGUGACUGCAUAAUUUCUUCAAUUUCUGAAGCACACCCUUUAGAAGAAAGUAGUUUGCUCUAAAUUCCAGUACUCAAUUUUUCCCUGGUUAUAGGAUAGAAAGCGAGACAUGCUUUUAAAACAGAGUAUAAGUACCAUUCAGAUGCAAAAUGUAUCUGAAAAAGAGACGGUUCAUUAAUUCCGUUAUUCCAGGAGCUGACCACCUAGUUCAUCUCGAACAGCUUCUCCAAGCCUGGCUAAAGGAUUGGAAAGCAGGCUAGGUUGGCGUUCGGCUGUUAUCUCCCCCUCCUAUCAUUUUGUGGAAUUUCUUCAUGUGCGUAUAACGUUGUGAAAUGUUGAAGUGGUGUGGCAUAUGCUGCCACAUUCAACUUGGUCGUUUCGUUUUCCCCACAACCUCACAGGGGAGUGAUGAAGUCAGAAGACCAGGACGAACACCCAUCCCAGGCUCGAGUUUUCUGAUCUCCUCAGCUUUUUGUGGGGAUGAACUGAUGUAGCAGAUACGAGUGUGUCCCUCUUGUCCUGGGGUUGACGUUGGGACUCUGAAGUCCUCAAAAGUAGCGGCACCUGAGACUGCGUGACGGCCCUCUUCUGUGACCCAAACCCUCAGUCUUUGAAAGCGUCCCUUUUUCUGGGACUUUCUCUGUAUGUGUGGUGGAGGAAGGGAUGGGGAGAAGUGGAUACAGAUGUGUCCUCUGUGUGGGCGAGAGUGAAGAGUGCGUAAAAGAUCUUUGAUAAAUCAAAUUGGCCAAAAUAAGAGUUUAGAGCAACGUUUCUCAAACUUCCUGUCGUGAAGGGACAGUUUGGCUUUGUGGUUUACUUUCCAUUUUAUCUUGGACCAUUAGUGUUGUAAAAUAUGAUGAAAAUGAGUUGUAAGAAAGUAGAAUAAGAAAGGUAUAAAAUAUAAGCCCAAGUCUCUUGUUUUAGAUUCAGCCAGCAUUGUUAGCUCUGUCAAACCGCUCUCCCCUUUCCAAAUCCUUAUGGUCAAGCUCUAUAUUUAUUUAAUCAUGGACAGGUUAAGAAACGAAGACCCAUGCUUUGAAUGGCACUGGGGCCUGAAUAGCGCAAUUGACAAUUAACCUGAUAUGUCAGACAAUCUCCUGAAUAUAAAAAUCCUUCUUUUCCAGUGCCCCUAAAAUAUUUAUAAAAAUUGGCCAUAAUUUAUCACAAAGAAAUGCUGAUGGCAUCCCACGAAUUCCACAAAUAAAGCAAGAAUCAAAACCUGCUCACCAUGCAAUAAAAUUACAAACAAAUAGAAGCAAACGUGAACAAAAAAAAAGCCUACCUAUGCAUUUUGAAUCUUCCUCCUAAAUAACUCUUAGCUUAAAGAAGUCAAGAUCACAAUGGCAUGAUAGUUAAAUAAAUAUUGCGAAUGAGAAGAUGAGCAGUAAAAUCCUGUGGGAUGUAUUCAAACGUCCUCUGGAACGUUCCUUCCUCUGGAGGAAAAUGCAUAGCUAUGGUGUCAGUCAGUGUCCCAACAAGACACACGUGGCACGUUCACGAUCAGAUGAUUUGAGCAGAGUUUAUUUAUGGAUACGCUGUUUACAAAGGUGAGGUCCAGGGAAACCAUUAGAAUAGCAGAGAAGCCUGACUAGUUCCACCUCUCCUUCCUUUCCUGGGAGCCCGGAAUACAGUGGUACUGAGUUGGCCAUCCAACUAGGGGGUGCAGAGAACACAGACAGAGGGACCCAGGAGUUCAAGGCCCUGAGGCAGGGAGGGAGUCAGGAUGAUGAAGACUCUGACCCCUCUCCCCCUCCCUCCAUCUCUGUCUGGAAGUCUGACAUCUCAGAAGUCCCUUGAAAUGGAGCCCCAGUUGAGGACGUCACAGUGAGCCUCCCAGGACAGGAAACAGGCCUGGAGAGAGGUCCAGGGGUUACCUGCCAGUGCUGUAAAUCACAUUCUUAACAAAAUAACGAAGACAAAUAUAGUAAGCAAUCUACUCAGAAGGUUUCUUUAAAAAUUCACAUAUAGAAAAUGAAAUCAGAAGGGGAAAAAUCAAGUGAGUGUCAGUGAAAAUAGAAAACUAUAAAAUACAAUAGCUAGGUCUUUGGCAAAUAGUUGGAAGUAAGACAACACAGGCUCAGCUAAUUAAAAAGAAAGAAAGAAAGAUCGCUGAGACACAAAAUGAAAAUGUGGAAAUAAUGACAUGUACCCGUGUAAGUAAAAAUAGUUUGAAUGCUCUAUGCUAAUAAAUUUGAAACAUAGAUGAAUUGCAAUGAUUUUAAAUUAGAAUAUAUAUUAUCAAAGCUAAGAGAACUAUUAAGAGAAUAAGAAAAAGAAUUAAUAGAAUAAGCCAAUAAUCUUGGGAGAAAUAAUAAAGUUCUCUAAUAAUUGCCCCUUAAGGAAGCUCUUAUCCCAGAGUUGUCACCAGUGAAGUUUUCUCCAUUUCAGGAAAGUUUAAUAUUUAAUAACCCGCAACUUAACUCCUGGUACAUAAACUAAAAUAAUAGGUGUCCUAAUUUUUUGUUUCCCUGUUUGUUAUUUUACAAGUCACUAUAAACCACCUCCAGACUGGAGCGAGAUAUUGCAGAAAAACUGCCAUCUUGUAAGUGUCCUGAUGAAAAAGACCUGAAUAAAACAUUGGCAGAAUAAAAUGAAGGAAUAAAAUAAAAACACAGGAUAGUAUAUUUAAAAAAAAUAAUAAAACACCAUAAAGUCAUAGCUCUAGAGAGAUCCAUGCUGUUUAAUACUUUUAUUUAUAAAUUGAAUCAAAAAGGUAAAAAAAAAGAAAACAUAACCUUUUCCCUAGAGAUGCUAGAAAGCAUUUGAAAAUCUUCUAGUCAUUUCUCACAACACACACACACACACACACACACACACACAACUUGGAAGAGUAGAUAUAAGUGGAUAAUUACAAUAGCUAAUACUUGCUGAGCCCACCUACUGUGUGCCAGGCAUGGUGGUAAACAUUCCAUAUGUGGUAAUUAGAAUCCCCCUGUACUCCCAUGAGGUGGGUUACAAUUAUUCUAUGUUACUGAUGAGGAAAUGGCAGAGGGAGGUGAAGUGAAGCAAGUCGUAAGAGUGGUGAGUAGUAGAGCUGGCAUGUUAGCCUGGCGGUCUGACUCUAGAACUCUGGGCGUGACCACUCCAUGCCUCUUCCAUGCCCUUUGUAAAUAUGGAAGUCAUUUUUAUGCCCAGGCGAAGAGCAGUCAAACUGCCAAAUGUCUUGGAAAUAGCCCCUGUUUCACUCUUACCUGUGUAUUAGUGAGGCUCAGCUUGUUGGCUUGUCUUUCUAAGGAUUGUUGCA